rnacentral:rRNA from 1 species
UGAGUACGAGCUGCUACGGCAGCGAAGUGGGUGAUGUCAAGCUUCCAAGAAAAGCCCUAUACCCGUUAAGGCAUGAUGGCCUGUACCCGAAACCGACACAGGUGGGGUGGUAGAGAAUACCGAGGGGCGCGAGAUAACUCUCUCUAAGGAACUCGGCAAAAUGGCCCCGUAACUUCGGGAGAAGGGGUGCCACCGCAAGGUGGUCGCAGUGAAGAGGCCCAGGCGACUGUUUACCAAAAACACAGGUCUCCGCUAAGUCGCAAGACGAUGUAUGGGGGCUGACGCCUGCCCAGUGCCGGAAGGUUAAGGAAGCUGGUCAGCGUAAGCGAAGCUGGCGACUGAAGCCCCGGUGAACGGCGGCCGUAACGAUAACGGUCCUAAGGUAGCGAAAUUCCUUGUCGGGUAAGUUCCGACCCGCACGAAAGGCGUAACGAUCUGGGCGCUGUCUCGGAGAGAGGCUCGGCGAAAUAGAAUUGUCUGUGAAGAUGCGGACUACGUGCACCCGGACAGAAAGACCCUAUGAAGCUUUACUGUAGCUUGGUAUUGUGCUCGGGCUCGGAAUGCGCAGGAUAGGUGGGAGGCUAUGAACCAUUGCUUGUGGGUGAUGGUGAGCCACUGGUGAGAUACCACUCUUUCCGAGCUAGAGUUCUAACAGCCACCCGUUAUCCGGGGGCUGGACAGUAUCAGGUGGGCAGUUUGACUGGGGCGGUCGCCUCCUAAAAGGUAACGGAGGCGCGCAAAGGUUUGCUCAGGCUGGUUGGAAAUCAGCCGACGAGUGUAAAAGCAGAAGCAAGCUUGACUGUGAGACCUACAAGUCGAACAGGGAGGAAACUCGGCUUUAGUGAUCCGACGGUUCUGCGUGGAAGGGCCGUCGCUCAACGGAUAAAAGUUACUCUAGGACAACAGGCUGAUCUCCCCCAAGAGUUCACAUCGACGGGGAGGUUUGGCACCUCGAUGUCGGCUCAUCGCAACCUGGGGCUGAAGUCGGUCCCAAGGGUUGGGCUGUUCGCCCAUUAAAGCGGUACGCGAGCUGGGUUCAGAACGUCGUGAGACAGUUCGGUCCAUAUCCGGUGCAUGCGUAGGAAUAUUGAGAGGAUUUCUCCCUAGUACGAGAGGACCGGGAGGAACGCACCUCUGGUGUACCAGUUAUCGUGCCAACGGUAAACGCUGGGUAGCCAUGUGCGGAGAGGAUAACCGCUGAAAGCAUCUAAGUGGGAAGCCCACCUCAAGAUGAGUAUUCCCAUGGGUUAACCCAGUAAGGUCACGGGAAGAACACCCGUUGAUAGGCUCUACGUGGAAGCGCAGUAAUGUGUGAAGCGGAGGAGUACUAAUAGACCGAGGGCUUGACC